GUGCUGUCUUUGACAAUAUCUGUAGUAAAUUUUAAACCAUACAAGGAAGGUUAGCAUGGCUACUGCACAAAGAUAUCACACAAAUUUGUGAAAAUUGUUCUCUUUCU
rnacentral:snRNA from 1 species